GACGAAAGGGGCUAACGUUGUUCGGAAUUACUGGGCGUAAAGCGCAUGUAGGCGGCUCUGAAAGUUGGGUGUGAAAUACCGGGGCUCAACUCAGGAACUGCACUAAAAACUGCAAAGCUAGAGGUCGCGAGAGGUUAGCGGAAUUCUCAGUGUAGAGGUGAAAUUCGUAGAUAUCCGGAAGAACAUCAGUUGCGAAGGCGGCUAUCUGGACCGUUUCUGACUCUGAGGCGCGAAAGCGUGGGGAGCAAACAGG
rnacentral:rRNA from 1 species